ACUCUGCCCUCCACUGGACUCAGGCAUGUCUAUGGCUGCCUGUCCUGAGGCUCCGGAGCCCUCAUUUCUUCGUGAAGUCCCCAGCUCCCCUGCCUCCACUCAAUGGCACCGGCCCUGCAACUUUAGGCAGGUCGAAGCCAACCCAAGGAAAGAACCUAAGAACCUCGUUUGGAGGGAUGUCAGCUUGGGCCAGACCAGCCGCACCCCGCGGGGCUCAGGCUUGGAACUGGUGAGGGUGUGUGGUGGGGGUAUGCAGAGGGAUAAGACCGUGGUAGAGGAGAGGGUUGGUGAGGAGAGAGAGAGAGAGAGAGAGAGAGUCUGGGGGGAGCGGGCAAGCAUGGGGAGAUGAGAUGUGUAUAUGUGAGAGAGAGUGUGGGGGCCCCAGGCAGGGCAGGAGGUGGUGGAAACGGGGUGAACUCCGUGGGCUGUGUGAGGACUGUCCAUAGUGGGUCCCAA
rnacentral:lncRNA from 1 species